GUGCGUUUGUUCGUAUUUUUGUGCGUGUGCGGGAAGUUUUGUUUGCUGAAGUGUCUGUGACACAUAUUAUUUGUGUUACAAGCCAUGUGUCGAGGUGCGAGAGAUGCUUCCUAGUUUCUUGAAAUGGAAUUUGGGUGCACCUGGCAACAUAUCGUGUUGCUCUGUUUACCACGAACUGGCAACUACGCAAUGCACUGCACUACGAACAUCAGUUACAGAUGAAGCAAACAGCAUGAGUCGCCUGUCUUCAGGUAAGCGAUGAGCUUUUUAACGCACACUGCAUGUGAUCGAACAUGUAAACGUUCUCAGAAAUUUCGUGUUCUGAUAUCUAAUGCGCACUUCCUGUUCAUGGUGCCGGUGUGGCUGGUGUGUCAUAAUGCCGAAGGAGAUCGAAAGCUUGAGCUGCAGGGAGCUCGAAAACACUGCAGUAUGAGUGCAUUACAACCCACAAAGAUUUCCAACUUCUAUCCUUCAAUAAUACUGUCCUGAAGGUCGCAUAUUGAACUCCGUGGGCAGCGCGAACCUAUGAGCGACUGUAUUCACGAACGAUGCAGAUACACUGCGUAUCGCCAGUUUGCAAGGUGAGUAUGGCACAAGCUUGGGAAAAAACAAGAUCAUGGUUAUCCUAGCCUGUGCAGUGAAGAGGGUCUGGCAAGCCUUUCCCACAGAAAAUGCCACAGGCUUCAAGUACCCAAGAUCCUAACUGGGGGUACCUCUUCGCACAGCUCGUCUAUCACAUUUAAAAUAAUUCAGCAUCUGUAUUUAGGAUGAUCUAUAGCUCUCAGGAUGAUGCAUGGUUCAUGUGUUCAACAUGUUGUGUUGAAACACAACACUAGUCCUUUUUAAUGAGUCUUGCGGAACGAUAGAUGAGCACUCCUUUCGUGACAUUGUGUACCAUUGCUACAGUGAACAAUUUCUUGAGCAAGACUGAUGAACGAACAAAAAAUAGAGUCUUGUCUUCCUAAUAUGUAUGUUCCUUGUAACUUCCGUAUUUGUUAAGUGACCCAUGUUGAUGUCCCCCCUCAUGUAAUGCCUGCAAUGGCCUUUGAGAUAUAUUCAUAAAUAAAUAAAUAUCAAAACCGGAAAAAGAUGUAACACGUAUCCUCUCUUUGUGUGAAUGAUACAUAGACAUUCUCAGAAGAUUUGUACAUAGUCACACUUUGCCUCAUUUUGCAUAAAGCCUAGUUCCACAUCUUACAUCAUCUCCACAUCUUCAACCUCCAAAGCAGUACAAGGCUAAAGUAAUCAGCUACUACAUAAAAAGAAGGAGGGGAGGAAAACAAAUGCUGGUACAUCUAUAAUUCGAAGAAACCCUGGUACUUUCACGGGGCUACUCACGGCUCAGUGCUGGAUCAGAUCCCGAUGGAAAACAGCUUUUCUGAGCCUCAGUGAUAGAUUCCCUUGAUUGCACUGACUGUGAGGCACAUCUCAUUGGCUUGGUGGCAAGUGGGCUUGCGUCUGAUAGUAAGAUUUGGAAGAAAGGGAGCAAGGAACAUCUCUCUACGGUCUUAAGAAGGAUAUCAACGUUACCUGUCAAGGUACAGCAUUUCAUGUUGCUUUCAGUAAGUACAACACUCCUCAUAGCAGUUACCAUUCGUGUUGGGAAAGCAUGCUGAAGUUAGCUCAGGCAGUGCAUCCAGAACUGUGAAUCGGGUUCAUAGAGAGCACCUGGUGAGAGGGACAGCAACAGUGUCCAGUAAAGACUCUCCAGGAAUUUUGUGCAGGUUUGGGGGUCACACCUUUUAAUAGUGUUGAUGGAAAGCAGGGUGUGUGAAACACUGACUUCUGGUAGAUGAAUUCUUGUUAUUUAUAACCAGGUACCCGUGUUCUAGUAAUCUAGAAAAAGCCUUGGCUCUCUUGGAGGAAAUUGCUAAUGAAUCUGAGUGUCUUUUGUGGAAACAGGUUGUAACUGCCUUUCUAUCCACCCUUCUUAGUUGCCCUAGCAAAAGCAAAUAUGUAAUGCUGUACACCAUAUCUGAUGCUAGCACACUAAUUGCUUUGAGUGUUCUCAGGCUUCUGAAAUGGAGCUACCUCGUACAUACGCCGUGCCAUGUCGGCAAGAACAUAAAUCGGACUGCCUUUACUUUUUAAAUUGGCCCUUCAGUGUUUCAUGUGACUGCAAGAAUGGCACCCCCAAAACAAUAGGCAACAAGAAUGAUUUCUGCAAUGUAUUGAGCUUUGUAAAACAACAACUUUAUUUGAAAAUAUAUUCCAAAAGCCAGGUGACAACCUCAUAAUGUAGUGUCCUUUACUGCAAACACCGCUCAACACAAUGAAUAAAAACAGAGUGUAAACGUUUUGUCGCCUAUCCGGGUGGCAUCAUCAGUACAACAGAGGCCAAAGAUGAGCACAUCAGCCUAUCUAAGAGGGAAUCUUACACAUCCGAUAGGGGGCCACGGUAUGUAUUACAGGCUGAAGCAUCACGCCUGAUAAAGCAGGAUUCUAAGAACUUUCUAGGGCCCCAUCGCUAGUCAUGAGCAAAGGUUACUGCACCAUCAAAAUCUAUGUCCCUUAGGACAGCAGUGGUAGACUGAUUCGGUCCUGUUUAGUUAAGCUAAGCAUUAGUAGCCCUGGCAACUGGCUCUUUUAGUCUUGUCCCAAGUCUUUUGUCUAUCUCGCCAAUGUAGGUUGCAUCACAUUCUAUGCACUCAACUUGAUGUGCACAGUCAAAAUGCCUGAUGGGCAGAGUGCCCUCCAAAUAGUAUAUGAAAUACAUUGGAUGAAAGGAAUGAGGACCACCGAUUUGACUCCUUUGAUGUUGUUUUUUAUUGUUCUCUGUUGGAGGGAUGAUGCCACCUGGAUAGGCAAUGAAACGUUUACUCUCUUUAUUCUUAAUUGUUGUGUUAAGCCAGUGUUCUGAGUAAAGCAUUUUACAUUAUGAACUUUGUUUGAAUGAUGAUUAGUGGCGAGCUUCAUACCCUGGGCCACUACUCCAACAAUUGCUUGUGGUAGUCUGGCGAAAUGGAAUGACGAGCCUUGUAGACAAUUUACUUGGCAAUAUAUUUAUUUAUCUCUCAUAGGUUGAAGAACCCAGUGUGGUGUUACAUAACAGAGGGGCACGUAAUUAUACAAGACCGAUCACCAAAAGGCCUUGCUUUUGACUAGAUUAAAAUGUGAAGCGAUUGUAAUAUAACAAAUGCUGCAUGGUGGCGAUAUGAUAGGUUCUCCUCACGAGUUGUCGCCACAGUUACGGUUAGUUGAGAAACUGCAUAUCCAGGUAGCAGAAUCAAAUUUUAAUUAGGCUACUUUGGCCAACACGCGAGCGUAGAGCACAGUGUCAAAAGGCCUUACAAAAUAAAAAGAAUACUACAUCCACGUGGACCCAGAAAUCAAGACAGUUUGAAAUGCUGUGAACGAAUUCCACUACGUUAGUUUUGCCUGAAUACCCUUUUCUAAAGCCAUGCUGGAAUUUAAAAAAAGAAAUUGACAGAGUCAACUUGGUUGGAGUCAACGUGGUAGUACAUGAUGUGCGCCAUUAGUUUACAGGGAACCCUAAAAAGUGGAGCUGGUUAAUAGAUAGAAGGAGCAUAGUUGUCACCUCUUCUGAAGACAGGAAUAAGCUUGAGACCUAUGUCCUCGACUCACACACAUACUAAGAACCUUUGACACAGAUUAACGUAUCUUCAUUCCAGCUCUUUCACUUUCAGAUGUUCAUCUCUGUUGAGUGGUCUGUCAUUCUUGUAAUACAGAUUGGAAUUGAAAUGCAGGUGCAUAAGGGAUGCUCUGAAAGAAAAGUGUUUGGUUUUAGUCCUCUUAAUGUUUCUGAAAACGAAAACAAACUUCACGGUGACUAUUCUUCUGAAAUGAGCAAUUCCAGGAUGACAGCAAAAAAAUAUAUCUUGCCAUAUCAUUAUAUCCACCUGGCACUUCAAUUGAAUAAUGGCAGUUGAAGAUGACGAUGAUUCAAUUUAAUGACGCAUAAGCAACUCGGGCUAUAGUGUGCCAAAACCAUGGUAAAACUGUGACUUGUUAAAUAUCAGACGAUUAUACUAAAAUAAUAUACUUUGUUGGUUGGUAAAUUGAGAUAUAGACAAAAACAUGAUAUGAUAAAAAUAAGCAAUUGAAGAAAAGGCAAUUGUUGGCUUUGUGUGACUGAUGUCGAGUUUGCCACACUACGUGUUGAAUAAUAAUGUAUGCUGAUACGCUGUAGCAUAUAAAGUACAAUCAUACACACGCUCAAUAUGUGGUGGAUAUGUGAAACCAAUAUACACAUACUUACAUUUCAAACUUUCUUGAAAAAGGCAGUCCAAGUCUGUCGGAUUUGCCAGACUCUAUACAAAGCCAGUAAGCACAGUGUGGAAUGACUGAUUCAUCUUUCGAAGGCAGAGGUGCAGCUACCACGACGCUUCGUCAUCUCAAUGCUUCGGAGCGGCAUAGCCUAGUAAGAAGCCAUCAGAAGGAUCUCAUAACGAUAACUUGGUCGAAAAAGUGGAGGGUUCUGUGGGAUAUGUAAGAAAGCAUGCGCGUUACACAACAGCUACGAGAAUGAUCGACUGCACCUGCAUGGUUUUCAGUACGUAGACUUGGAACUGAAAAAUAAAUGUGCUAACCAUACUACAUGCUUGAUACUACUUUUCCGUCAGGACCACAUGAGAGCACAUUUGUUUUUUUUAGUUGAAGGUAUCAUCAGGUCCCCAUGCUCCUUUGAGAUGCAGCCGACAGAAGUUCGCUGAGGCGAGUGACUGCCGUUGCGGUUCGUCGCUUCGCAGCAGAUCAAGAACAGUACACAGCAACGAUAGGUGAAACGUUCAGAAUAUGAUGACCAACUCCAACACCAACCCAAUGACCCGAACAAAGAGGAUGAACCGGGAGUCACACAAGUUCGCAGUUCGCAACCUCGGCAUACGGCAUCCAUUACAGCUGACCGGAUACGGAAGCAUAUAUCGAACGCCGUGUACAGAUUGAAAAGAAAAUCGUAGAAACUGUUGCAGGUGAUAAAUGCAGGGUAUAUUUUUCUUUUUGAGGCUCUGUAACAAAAACAUAUUAACGUAGAAAUGCCAUUUCAUGAAGGAAAUUGACAGGUAUUGCGUGACCACGUGACGCGUUUGAGCCAAUUGUGGGUGUUCCGAGUGGCCCCCGUGUUGACAUCAUCUUGAUGGUGGGCCGGGGUGGAUAUUCUAUAUAAACGUAUGUUUUCUCGGUUUGACGCUAGGCGUGCUGCACUCGGAUGAAGUCGAAUGUUUAAAAUUCGAGUUUAGAGAAACCGUGGGGUUUUAAUGCGUGAAUUUUCGCAUGGAGAGUCCUUGUUGGGUGCUUUAUCGACUACAAGUACGAAAGAGCUCCCACAGUUUCUGGUCAGAGUCCCUUUAAACAGUAGAAGACUCAGUACGCCCCCCUGUGGGACUCCACAUGUGAGAGCAUGAUUAUCGCUUGCACCGUUCUCCGUCCUCAUGUAAACAGACCUGCCCUGGAUGUAGUCAGCAAUCCACCGUAAAGCACGCCCUUGGAUGCGUUGAGUGAAGAGGUCGUGGAGCACGUGACUGUGGCUGACCGUAUCGUAUGCUCUUUUAAUAUCCAGAAAAACUGCUGCAGUUGUCCGGCCUUGAGCGCGCUCAUGUUCUACAUACGUGACCAAGUCCAGCACACUAUCCAUUGUACAUCUGCCUUUACGAAACCGCGACAUGGAGUCAGGGAAAACGCAAUGCGCUUCUAGGAGCCACUCCAACCGACUCAGGACCAUUUUUUCCAUGAUCUUGCACACACAGCUGGAGAGACUGAUGGGACGAAACGAGUUGACGUCACGAGGGGACUUUCCGGGUUUGAGUAGAGGAACCACUCUAGAGACUUUCCAUGACGCUGGUAGAUUGCCUUCAGCCCAACUGGAGUUCAUGAUAUGCAGUAAGGUCGUCUGAGCAGUUGGGUCCAAGUUAACCACAUGUCUAUAUGUAACACCAUCAGGACCUGGCAAUGACUGGCGAGCCCUUGAUUUCAAUGCAGCCUGGAGUUCCGCAAGGCUGAAGUCGAAGUCAAGUGCUUCGCACUGCGCAUUGCGAGUAAAGCACGUGGUGUCCGUGACCUCUUUCACAGAUGUUUGAUGCACGCUAGUUGCAGAUGCCACUGACGGUUUAGCAAGUGACAUGCAGAAUUCAUUAGCCACCGCCUUCUCGUCCGUAUUUCGAUAGAUAGCCAAUGCUCUAAACGGGUAUGUCUGGGUAGUCGGCGUCCCAAGCAUUCUAAUGAUCUGCCAUACUCUCGUUGUAGGUGUGAAAGGAGUCAAAGUAGAGCAAAAGGUUCUCCACUGUUGCUGCGACAACCUUUGAAGAUGACGGCGGAUGACCCUCUGUAAGCGGCAUGCUUCGCGAUAGUCGGCACGGUUUCCAGACCUACGGAACCUCCUUUCAGCCCUGCGCCGUAUCGCCCGCAGUCUCUCAUAUUACGCGUCCACCUGACGAUACGUGUCGGGAACUGUGACAACUUUGGUUGCAGCCUCAGCUGUGGCCUUCACCGCAGCUGGGAAUUUAUCAUUUUUGUUUGUAAAGUAUGUAUAAAAGAUAUGCAAAAUUAUGUUUGUAAUUAUAUUAACAUUAUCUUCUCACUGACAUAUUCAUACACAUUACUUCUGUAAUGUUAGUUUAGGUCUGCUGUACAAGUAUGCACAGGUCGUAAUUUGCCUGGAGCACGUUUUGAAAUUGUGCACCACCCCUGCAUCGCACACAUGGGUCCUCAAGGCAAGCAAAAGAUAAUGAUGAUGAUGCUUAUCGUAGCAUUUUUUUUUUUUUUUCGCUCCCCCAGUGAAAAAAUAGUUCCGACGCCACUGGCUCCAACCGACGAUCUCUGACCAACAGCCUCUAACCCCUUCACUUGAGCUGCAAGGGCCACCAGACGACUUGAUUACACCUGCUCCCUCGCCAGGAAAAAUGUGUUUUACUCAGCCACCUGAUGCACAGGAAUCUCCAAUUCCUACAAUGCCCACAUGUACAACAAGAAAAAGGCAGCCUCCAGCUUACUUGAGAGACUGACACAAGUUGUGAUACUUAGGACUCUGUUAAUGUACGAACUGUAGUCUCCUAUUGGUUUUAGUAUAUCUUGUUCUUUGAAAUGCUUAUGUAAACAUAUGCAUGUCCCAGUCUAGCAACGUUGUGCUCUCCUGCCAGCCGCAUGUACCGAUGCGUUUACGCACCAACGAUGUACGCCAGGAUUCAGUUCUCUGUUUGCCUCUCGCAGGGCACAGACGUGUGGCUCCUCACUGGUGGAUGGUGUGCGUCAAUUCUGGUGGAUUUUAUGUCGAGCAGACUUGCGAUGAGGACUGUUUUUGACUGAGUGCUGUAUACAUGGAAAUACUUUGAUACCUCUUUUCCACUUUGUUCAAGUGUAUUUUCUUUAGGUCUACUCUAAUUAUACGUGCCUUCCUGUGCUUGCUUUCCUUUGUUGUCUAGUAGUCGUGCGAGCCUGUAUUUUUUUUCUCGUGUGGCAGUACUCAUUGAGCAGUGCCCUGACGUGCCCCAUCUCGUUCUGUCUAAUGAUGCAAGCUGACGCAUCCUUUCCUUUGUUGACGCAUCUGGAUGGUCGCUCUGUAUUUUUUUCCUUUUUGACAAGAAAGAUUCUUCUUGAAGCAGUAUCACUCUUUUCUGUUCUGUCCGGAAAGCUAAAUCCCGCAUUGUAGAUAUUUUCCCGAAGAGUCUCCACUGGCUUAAAAAUGUUGUUGAAAAAUGUAAAUGUUCAGGUCUUCCCAUUAAGUUCGUCCUGAAGGACCACAAACCAGAGAUGCUUGUAAUCCGUGCUUGUAAUCCACAAACCAGAAGUGCUUGCCGUGUUGUAAUCAGUGAACGUGGUAUGUUGCAAAGGGUUGUAUCUUAUCUACAAAAGGGAAUAAAAUAAGUAUUUAAAGAGAUUGAAA